UACGUAGGGCGCAAGCGUUGUCCGGAAUUAUUGGGCGUAAAGAGCUCGUAGGCGGCCUGUCACGUCGAUUGUGAAAGCCCGAGGCUUAACCUCGGGUCUGCAGUCGAUACGGGCUAGCUAGAGUGUGGUAGGGGAGGUCGGAAUUCCUGGUGUAGCGGUGAAAUGCGCAGAUAUCAGGAGGAACACCGGUGGCGAAGGCGGAUCUCUGGGCCAUUACUGACGCUGAGGAGCGAAAGCGUGGGGAGCGAUCCGG
rnacentral:rRNA from 1 species